AGUCACUGACAUUAGAUACCCCCUGUAGUCCAGGGUGUAAACGCUGCAGACUUGGUGUUGGAGGCCCUUUGGGGGCAUUCAGUGCCGGAGAGAAGUUGUUAAGUCUGCUACUUGGGGAGUACGUCCGCAAGGAUGAAACUUAAAGGAAUUGGCGGGGGAGCACCGCAACGGGAGGAGCGUGCGGUUUAAUUGGAUUCAACACCGUAAAACUCACCAGGGAAGACUGUUACAUGAAGGCCGAGAUGAAGACUCUGCUAGAUUUUUCAG
rnacentral:rRNA from 1 species